AAGCUCGUGAGCGACGUGUCCCUGUUUUCUCUGAGAGACUUGGCCAGUGAGGUUUGCUGAGAGAAAACCAAUAGUGUUCAUCUGAACGGUCUGAAUAUCAGUGGAAGAAAGAAGAUCUAGUAGAAUGUGGCUUAUAGUGUUAUUACUGACAGAGACGUUGCAUACAGAAGCUUCACUGCAAACUUUUACAAUAGAUGAAGAAUCAGAGCCAGAGUUUUCUAAAGCAGUUCCAAACGUCACUGUAUCUGUUGGUCGUGAUGCGCAACUGCCGUGUGUCGUGGAUAACUUGGGAUCUUACGGGGUAGCCUGGUUGAGAGUUGAAAGUAAAACCAUCCUGACUAUCCGUCAUAACGUCAUAACCGGAAAUUACAGAAUAGAUCUGAGUCAUGGAGACCGAAGAAAUUGGAUUCUUCACAUCAAGAACGUUCAGGAAUCCGAUAGGGGAGGGUACAUGUGUCAGAUAAACACGUUUCCCAUGAAAAGCCAAGUAGGGUAUCUAGACGUUGUUGUACCCCCGGUAAUUAUUGACGCCGAGAGUGAUACUGACGUUUUGGCACGUGAAGGCUCAAACGUCACAAUGAAAUGUCGCGCUAAAGGCUAUCCAGUUCCCGAGAUUACGUGGAAGAGAGAAGAUGGUCAGCCUAUAUCUGUAGGUCUUUGGCAAAAUGACCUUGAUCAAGACAUCUCAUAUAAAGGAGAACUUCUGAAAGUGACUAAAGUUAGCAGACUGCACAUGGGUGCCUAUCUGUGUAUCGCGUCCAAUGGAGUACAACCUUCAAUAAGUCGACGAGUUGUUCUACACGUACACUUUACACCUAUGAUAUGGGUUCCAAAUCAACUAAUUGGUUCUCCCAUCGAAAAUGACGUCACACUGGAGUGUCAUACUGAAGCGUAUCCGUCGUCAAUCAACUACUGGCAGACUGAAAGAGGAGACAUGAUAGUGAGUGACCACAAAUACCGUGUCAAAGACGAACACAAAACGUACAAAGUUCACAUGAAACUCAUUAUCUUGAAUAUUCAGCCAGAUGAUUUUGGAACUUAUAAGUGCCACGCCAGAAAUUCCUUAGGUUCCACAGAAGGCAACAUUCGUAUCUACGGUGUGUUCUGUAUUAAACGUAUAUUUGUUCAACAACAACAACAAAAUAUGUCUAUUUUUUGUAUGAUGUAAAGCUCGUGGUAACAAAAAAGCCCAUACUUAAAAUCGUAAGAAAUAUUUAAUCUAGAGUAACACAGUUUUAUCAAGGCACAUUGAGAACUAUAAAGGAAAGUGUGGAUACAGUACAAGGAGUUUCGAAACGUAAUUAAACUACAGCAUUAUUUUUAUUUGUUUUCUUUCUCUCCCUCUUUCUUUCAACAAUAUAAGAUUGUUCAUUGGAAUAAAAUGCAUUUUAGUUCGUGGUGUAUUGCGAUGAUCAAUGAAUACUGUCCAGAUCAGAUGAUGCUUGUGGUAACUCUGUUGAUAUGCUGUCUGUCAGUAUUUGAAACAUACUGUAUCAUAUCCAAGCUUACUUUACUACAAUUUAUGAUUCUCAAUAUUGCCCUGGUGAAACUUACUUUCUAUAUAAUCGCCUUAUAUAAUAUUUGAAAAACUGUUAAUAUAUUAAAAAUUAAAAGC
rnacentral:misc_RNA from 1 species